rnacentral:rRNA from 1 species
GAUUGAACGCUGGCGGCAUGCUUUACACAUGCAAGUCGAACGGCAGCGCGGGGCAACCUGGCGGCGAGUGGCGAACGGGUGAGUAAUACAUCGGAACGUACCCAGAAGUGGGGGAUAACGUAGCGAAAGUUACGCUAAUACCGCAUACGUUCUACGGAAGAAAGUGGGGGAUCGCAAGACCUCAUGCUUUUGGAGCGGCCGAUGUCUGAUUAGCUAGUAGGUAGGGUAAAGGCCUACCUAGGCGACGAUCAGUAGCUGGUCUGAGAGGACGACCAGCCACACUGGGACUGAGACACGGCCCAGACUCCUACGGGAGGCAGCAGUGGGGAAUUUUGGACAAUGGGCGCAAGCCUGAUCCAGCAAUGCCGCGUGAGUGAAGAAGGCCUUCGGGUUGUAAAGCUCUUUUGUCAGGGAAGAAACGGCCUGGGCUAAUAYCYUGGGCUAAUGACGGUACCUGAAGAAUAAGCACCGGCUAACUACGU